rnacentral:rRNA from 1 species
UACGGGAGGCAGCAGUGGGGAAUAUUGCACAAUGGGCGCAAGCCUGAUGCAGCCAUGCCGCGUGUAUGAAGAAGGCCUUCGGGUUGUAAAGUACUUUCAGUCGUGAGGAAGGUGUUAAGGUUAAUAACCUUAGCAAUUGACGUUAGCGACAGAAGAAGCACCGGCUAACUCCGUGCCAGCAGCCGCGGUAAUACGGAGGGUGCGAGCGUUAAUCGGAAUUACUGGGCGUAAAGGGCACGCAGGCGGUUAAUUAAGUUGGAUGUGAAAUCCCCGGGCUUAACCUGGGAAUGGCAUUCAAGACUGGUUAGCUAGAGUCUUGUAGAGGGGGUAGAAUUCCAUGUGUAGCGGUGAAAUGCGUAGAGAUGUGGAGGAAUACCGGUGGCGAAGGCGGCCCCUGGACAAAGACUGACGCUCAUGUGCGAAAGCGUGGGGAGGCAAACAGGGAUUAGAUACC